rnacentral:rRNA from 1 species
GAAGCGGUGAGCAUUAUGUGGCAGGCACCGGCAUACGCCGUGAUGGGUGUUAGUGAGGUGUUUACGGUCAUCGGCAUGAUCGAGCUCUUCUACGACCGGGCUCCGGACAACAUGAGGAGCCUGUGCACCGCCUUUGGGCAGCUUGCCAUCGCGGCAGGGAGCUACCUCAACUCGGCAGCGCUGGGCGUUGUCGCGUCCGCCACGAUGUGGAUCCCAGAGGACCUCGACAACGGACACUUGGACUACUUCUUUUGGAUGAUAGCGGUGCUCAGUGCUUUGAAUCUGCUGCAGUUUGUACUCUACUCUAUGAGGUACAACGAUAACGUAGCUUGUCGACAACGCCAUCCAUAUUAG